CAGCCGCCGCGGUAAUACGUAGGGUGCGAGCGUUAAUCGGAAUUACUGGGCGUAAAGGGCUCGCAGGCGGUUUCUUAAGUCUGAUGUGAAAGCCCCCGGCUCAACCGGGGAGGGUCAUUGGAAACUGGGAAACUUGAGUGCAGAAGAGGAGAGUGGAAUUCCACGUGUAGCGGUGAAAUGCGUAGAUAUCGGAAGGAACACCUGUGGCGAAAGCGGCUCACUGGACCAUUUCUGACGCUGAUGCACGAAAGCUAGGGGAGCAAACAGGAUUAGAUACCCCCGUAGUCCCUGUCUCUUAUAC
rnacentral:rRNA from 1 species